CAUCCCUGGCUUGCGGUUUUUGUGUGUGUGUCUGAGCAGAGCAGCGCAAAAACAAUCGACCAAUGGAAAACAUAAACAUAUAAAAUAUAAAUUAUCAGAACUAAAUGACCGCCACAACAUGUCACUGCCGCGGAUCACGGACUUCGACAUUCUCGAGAAACUGGGAGCGGGCAGCUAUGCGACCGUAUACAAAGCGCGGCACAAAAAACAGCGCACUUAUCAUGCUAUCAAGUACGUAGAAAUGUCGUCGCUCUCGCAAACCUCGAGGGAAAACCUAAUCACCGAGAUCCGCCUCCUGCGGGACCUGAAACACAAAUACAUUGUGACCCUGCAGGACUUCUUUUGGGACGACAAAAAUAUUUACAUCGUUUUGGAGUACUGCAAUGCCGGCAAUCUAUCUGCUUUUAUACGGACCAAAAAGGCUUUGCCGGAGAGUACUUGUCGUUAUUUUCUGCGCCAAUUGGCGGCAGCUGUGCAAUACAUGCGAGCCAACGAUGUGUCCCACUUCGACCUUAAGCCGCAGAACUUGCUGCUCACCCGGGGAGCCAAUAAUGUGUCCCUGAAGGUGGCGGAUUUUGGAUUUGCACAGCACUUAAAGCUGGGGGAAAUCAAUCAGCAGUUGAAAGGUUCGCCGCUCUAUAUGGCCCCUGAAAUUGUGCGAAAGCAUCAGUACGACGCCAAGGCGGAUCUCUGGAGCAUCGGGGUGAUCCUGUACGAAUGUCUUUUUGGCAAGGCGCCUUAUAGCUCGCGAUCCAUUGAGGAGCUGUUGCUGAGGAUCAAGAAGGCCGAGCCCAUUACACUGCCACCGAACGCUCGCAUCAGCAAUGAGUGCCACGAUCUCUUGCGCCGGCUUUUGGCCCAUGAGCCCACGGCGCGUAUUUCGUUCGCGGACUUCUUUGCGCACCCUUUCCUCGAUCUCAAGACGUUUCCCACGGAGCACACACUGCAAAAAGCUAUCGAUCUAGUCACUCAGGCGUGUGCUUACGAUGAGAAGCGUAACUACAAAGAGGCUUACUAUCUCUACUGCAGUGCACUGCAGUAUUUUGUUCCCCUAAUUACGGAAGAGGCGGACGCCACAAAGCGGCUGGCUUUGCGCAAUCGUGCCUUGUCGUACACAAAGCGCGCCGAGGAGAUCAAAAACUGCAUAAUCGAAGACGAGUACAGAAUGUUGGCCGAGCGACAAAAGCAGGCGGCGUCAUCUGCUCCGUCUAACCAAACCAUAGAGCCUUCGCCAGUUGUCCAGGUCAACGAAUCGCAGCCCAGCAGUUCACGGAUGGCAGAAAUGCUGGAACCAGAUGCGCGCUACAAGCAGCUAUUUUCCAUGUCGCACUCAAGUCCGUCCCUGAAGACUGGCCUGGAAAUCGGACGGAAAGGCGAGCUUUAUCUUUAUGAGCGCAAGCUGGACGCGGCAUUGGAGUCGUAUACCUCAGCGUUGGGCAUUCUAGUGCCGUUUGUGAACAAUGAACCAAAGGGCGAGCGGCGUAAUCUGCUCCUGCAACAGUUGGAAUUCUGGAUGAAGGAGGCGGAGAGCAUCAAGAGCAUUUUGAGCGCCAAGCAUUUGGACGAGGAGGAGCAGAAACUGUCUACGGUACGCAGCUGCAGCAUACAGUAGUCAACAUAAAUGUAGAUUGGAACUCGAUGAGCAAUUUUCGGCGCCUGGUGCGCAUUUGUUAGAGUAUUUUUGUAGGCCGAUGUCCACGAAGCAUCGCUUUAGUCAAGUAGCCUUCUAUGAUCUUAUAUACAAUAUACAGAUAUACAUAUGUCUACACUAGAUUUGCUUUCUAUGUACAGCAGAACCAUAACAGCUAUUUGUACCGCUCCCCAAGAAGCUAUUCUAUAUUUAUUCCUCUUCGUGUUUGUUAUCGCACCACAUUGAGAACCGUCACAUUCCCGGGCUGGUCAAGACCGCCACUUCUGUGUUUCAUUUUGUUCAUUGUGCUUAAUUUGAUUAAAAUUGUUUAAAGAUAACCGAA